rnacentral:rRNA from 1 species
GUCGAGCGAAGACUUUGUUUUGAAUCUUCGGAGGAAGAACGAAGUGACUGAGCGGCGGACGGGUGAGUAACGCGUGGGCAACCUGCCUCAUACAGGGGGAUAACAGUUAGAAAUGACUGCUAAUACCGCAUAAGACCACGGUACUGCAUGGUACAGUGGUAAAAACUCCGGUGGUAUGAGAUGGGCCCGCGUCUGAUUAGCUAGUUGGUGAGGUAACGGCUCACCAAGGCAACGAUCAGUAGCCGACCUGAGAGGGUGACCGGCCACAUUGGGACUGAGACACGGCCCAAACUCCUACGGGAGGCAGCAGUGGGGAAUAUUGCACAAUGGGGGAAACCCUGAUGCAGCGACGCCGCGUGAGCGAUGAAGUAUUUCGGUAUGUAAAGCUCUAUCAGCAGGGAAGAAAAUGACGGUACCUGACUAAGAAGCCCCGGCUAACUACGUGCCAGCAGCCGCGGUAAUACGUAGGGGGCAAGCGUUAUCCGGAUUUACUGGGUGUAAAGGGAGCGUAGACGGCGAUGCAAGCCAGAUGUGAAAGCCCGGGGCUCAACCCCGGGACUGCAUUUGGAACUGUAUAGCUAGAGUGUCGGAGAGGCAGGCGGAAUUCCUAGUGUAGCGGUGAAAUGCGUAGAUAUUAGGAGGAACACCAGUGGCGAAGGCGGCCUGCUGGACGAUGACUGACGUUGAGGCUCGAAAGCGUGGGGAGCAAACAGGAUUAGAUACCCUGGUAGUCCACGCCGUAAACGAUGACUACUAGGUGUCGGGCAGCAAAGCUGUUCGGUGCCGCAGCCAACGCAAUAAGUAGUCCACCUGGGGAGUACGU